rnacentral:rRNA from 1 species
AUUGAACGCUGGCGGCAUGCCUAACACAUGCAAGUCGAACGGCAGCACGGCAGUAGCAAUACUGUGGGUGGCGAGUGGCGGACGGGUGAGGAAUACGUCGGAAUCUGCCCAGUCGUGGGGGAUAACUAGCCGAAAGGUUAGCUAAUACCGCAUACGACCGAGAGGUGAAAGCGGGGGACCGCAAGGCCUCGCGCGAUUGGAUGAGCCGACGUCGGAUUAGCUAGUUGGUGGGGUAAAGGCCCACCAAGGCGACGAUCCGUAGCUGGUCUGAGAGGAUGAUCAGCCACACUGGAACUGAGACACGGUCCAGACUCCUACGGGAGGCAGCAGUGGGGGAUCUUGCACAAUGGGCGAAAGCCUGAUGCAGCGACGCCGCGUGAGCGAAGAAGGCCUUCGGGUUGUAAACCUCUGUUCUUGGGGAAGAGGAGGAGACGGUACCCAAGGAGGAAGCCCGGCUAACUACGUGCCAGCAGCCGCGGUAAGCAUACUCGUAC